AAGUCGUAACAAGGUUUCCGUAGGUGAACCUGCGGAAGGAUCAUUAAUGCAAAAAUAGAGUAUAAUCUUUUCGGCAACUCUUCGGAGCGGUCCAAAAGGCGAUACGCUAUCUUACAACUCCCAAACGCUCGACUUUUUUUUGGAAACAAAAAAAAGCUUCGACGUCACAAGUAACCUGAGACGUUUUUCUGAUUUCGGCUGCAGACGAAAGAGGAAAGAUUGUUCUCUAUUUUUUUACACCAUAAUUACCCUUAUUCUAUAAAACUAUUAGACUGAUAUAAAAACAUUUACUUGAUAAAUGUUAAAAACAAAUUAUAAUACAACUCUUAGCAAUGGAUAUCUAGGCUCUC
rnacentral:misc_RNA from 1 species